UUCUGUUUUAAUAUCAUCAGCCUCUUAUAAUAUUUUGUCUAUUUGAAAUGAGCUGUGUUCCUGGUCCCAGGGUAGUCUGGAGCUGAGGGACAGGACUCUUUCAUGGUUUGAAAAUUCUUUCUAGCUCAUUUGGAGGAAAUCUAAGAUGUUAUGACUUCCAGCUCUAGGGAACUGUCUCAAGAAGGAGUAUUUGGUCUGUGACUGGUGGAGGCUGAUGGUGGCUUCAACUCUGAAAUCCUCUGGGCAACACCAAUCCUUCUGACCAUGGGAUAAUGUGAUAACUAAGAACAACGCGCUUGCAUAUUGGUGACACAUGUUGGCUUGACCCAGUUGAGAGUGCUGAGUGGCAGGGAUGGGAGACCUUCCUGGCUGCUGAUGGGGAGAAAAGGAGGUUUCUGGACAUUCCUUCCACAUCCUGGCAAGGCUGAGUUAUCCUGACUGUGGCACAGACAUUUAACAACACUUGGAGCCAUUGGAUUCACAUGGAGUAGCUGCAAACUUUAUCUGCUGUACUUGUGUUCCCCCACUAGAAAUGAGGAAAAAGAAAAUAAGAAUGAAGUUAUUUGCAUUGCUCUUGUCCGUGAGUGGAAAAGCUCAGGAUCAGGGACUCAGAUGUCGUGUCCUAUAUGGAAAGAAGAUAUUGGAGCAGUCUGGGGUAUCUUUGCAAGAUCAGUGAGAGAUCUGGACUGUCUCUACAAAGCUCUGUGAGGCACGGCUUUUCCAGGGAAGGAGGGAAAUCCAGCCUGUAAGUGGGAGAUAAGAGGCUGAUGUGCAUACCCAGACAUUUUUAACUUGGAUAUUUCUAUUGUCAAGAAUAGCAAAAUAUAAGAAUGCUGGGAAAGUUUUCUGAGCCUGCUUCAGUGGGAAAAAAAACAUUAUUCUGUGAAGUGAAAAAUGCAUCAGGAAGCGAAAUCAAUAUUUGUAAAGCAAACAUGGAAUGUUCUCGGGGGAAAAAACCCAAACCAGAACAAAUAACCAAAGAAAAACCCAACCCAACUAAAAACAACAACAAAAAAGGCUCCCAAACCACCACCAAAACCAAACGACAAAAAUUCCUCUCGAGUCCUAAUGAGCAUCAAAAGACUUCUCUGAAAGAGAUUGAUUAAACCGUCUAAAAUGAGAGACUUCAGACUAUCCAAGCAAAAUGCCUGGAAUUUUAAAGGGGCAGGCAGGGGGCCAGUCCAGUGAUGCCUCUGCAGGAUUUUCCCUGGCUUGGUCAGAGCAUUUCUCACAUUAAGAAGAUGCCCAGAAACUCCAAAAUUUCCAGGCACAGCACCAAAGGCACUUUAGAAUGCAGAGAGCUCUCUUUUGCCUUCGUGGUGUGGCUGAAAGGCAGCAGAAGGAGAGAGCUGUAGCUUUUAAUGGAGAAAUAAAGCAGGGAAAAGUAGAAAAAAAAUCUGGACAACAGAAAGAAAUCAAUCCUUUUUGGAUUAAUUGCAAUGAAAUGACCAAUAAGAUUGUUCAUUUUCCAGUGAUUGCAGGGCUAUAAAUUUGAUAGAAUUGUGUAGGAAUUGAUAUUGAAAGAAAAAUUCUGGUGCUACAAACAGCAAUCAGAAAUGAUCUCUGCAAUUUCUAUCUUAACUAUAUAAAGCAAGCAUUGCUUGAACUCACACAAAAUUAAAGCAUAUUAAGAAUACUAAUGGAAGAUUGAACGAUGGGAUAUGUGUAGUGUAGGAUUAGUUUUUGUGAGGCGCUACAGAGAAAACUGACAGGGCAAGUCAAAAAAAUAAUUACAGUCUGAUGUUCAAAGAAAAAUGGUAUCACUCCUAAAACAGAUAAAAUCCAAUCUCUUAUCUUUCUAGAGUUAUGAAAGCUUCAGGAAAAUAAAGAUUUAUUUUAACAUUCUAUCACAAUCUUAUUUACUGCACUUCAACAGGGGAAUAAAAUAAUAUAGCUAAUCGAUGGGAACAGUGUAAAACUAUAGCUUAGGGAAUGUACAUUGCUAAUUUUUAAAUCACGUAAUAAAAGAGUGAAGAGAGAUAACAUCUAAAAUAAUUUCAGGAAGAAAAGAAGUACACUAAAUGAAUAAACAAAAUUUGCACCAAGAAGAAAUCGAAGAGGCAGAAACACCGAACAGAAUCAAAAUAACCCGAAUCGCAGGCAAGUGCCUCGAAAAGAAGUUUUUGGAGUAGAACCGAAAAGUGGAGCAAAUAAAAAUGCAGAAGAGAAAAGUGGUAAAAUAACAAAGUUAAGAAAGAUUUAAAACUUUCCUGUUUGCCAGACCCGUGAGGGGGAAUCUGCAGGACUGAGGUGAGGGAAGGCAAAUCUCUCCGGCGCUGUGCGGCAGGAAAAAGGGAUCGCUUCAGUCCGGGGAAAAUGCCCUGAGCAGGAGAGAUGGGAGGAAAAUGCCCUGAGCAGGAGCGAUGGGGGCAAAAUGCCCUGAGCAGGAGCGAUGGGGGCUUGUUCCUACCGAAGCCGGCGGUGUCCUGUUCAUGGGGCCCCGAGGCCCGGGCAGGUGCUGUCCCUGUCCUGCAGCUCCGCAGCUCCGCGUUCCCGCCGCGCCGCUCCCCGUGCUGAAGGACAGACCCGGUCCCGCCGUCUUCAGGCAGAGGCGACUCCAGCCGAGAUUUUCCUGUCACUCAGGUGGGAAAGGAUAGAUAGCAGGGGAAGGAAAAGGCCUGCUGCUAAAACCCCAUCUGUUCUGCUCUACAGUGCUGGUCUGGGGCUCCUUGCUGCAGGAUUCCCUUCCUGGCAGGCUCGCUCCUCGAACAUCGCUGUAAACGCUGGGAAUCCUCACGAACAGCUCCGCGGCCAUUCCCGGGCCAGGAGAACGGGGAGCUUUUCAUUGAUUAGCUCCACUCCUGUGAGAUAGUUCUGUGGAGUCUAAAUGUCAAAACACCACCGAGGAAAGGCUUUUUUUUU